rnacentral:rRNA from 1 species
UACGAGGGGUCCUAGCGUUGUUCGGAAUCACUGGGCGUAAAGCGUAUGUAGGCGGACCUCUAAGUCAGGUGUGAAAGCCCAGGGCUCAACCUUGGAAUUGCCUUUGAUACUGGCUGUCUUGAGUUCGGGAGAGGUGAGUGGAAUGCCGAGUGUAGAGGUGAAAUUCGUAGAUAUUCGGCGGAACACCAGUGGCGAAGGCGACUCACUGGCCCGAUACUGACGCUGAGGCGCGAAAGCGUGGGGAGCAAACAGG